rnacentral:rRNA from 1 species
CACGGGGGGGAGCAAGCGUUGUUCGGAAUCACUGGGCGUAAAGGGCGUGUAGGCGGUUUGGUAAGUGGGAUGUGAAAUGCCUCGGCUCACCCGAGGACCGGCAUCCCAAACUGCCAAGCUUGAGUAUGGGAGAGGAUGUGGGAAUUCCUGGUGUAGCGGUGAAAUGCGUAGAUAUCAGGAGGAACACCGGUGGCGAAAGCGACUUCCUGGUCCAGCAUCGACGUUCAGGCACGAAAGCGUGGGGAGCAAACAGG